AUUAAGUAAAAUAAAAAUAGGAUAUAAAAUUUUGAAAAUACCGAAUAUUGAGAUUAUCUAAAUGUUUAAAGAGUUAUAUUGCAUACUAAUUAAAUUCAAAAUUUUCACUUAUAAAUCUUGAUAUUGGUAAUUCAAUAAUGUAUUUUGUACAGUAUGUAUCCUUAUUCUUAAUAAAUGCAAAUCUCAAAUUUUAAGAUGAAUGUAAUACAAAAUACUAGAUGACAUAACCUUUUUUUUCUAUUAAGAGAAACAUUUAGUAAGUAGUUAUUUUUGUAUGCUUAAAAUGUUCAAGUUAUUGUUGCGUAUUUGUGCCAGAAAAAAACGAUAUGUUACACAUUACAAUAAUAAGCAUUGUUUGCAUACAAAAAUUGAGGAGUCUGAAAUGUUGAUUGUAUCUGUCUCACAUUUAAAACAACUUCUCAAGCAACAAUGUUCAAAUGUUAUCGAAGGAUACACGUGCAUUAUAACAGAUUGCCCUAUAUGUACUAAUGAAAAAAAGAAAUCAAAGCUUUAUGUAAAUAAAACAACAGGAUUUUUUAUGUGUGAUAAAUGCAAGUCUACAGGUUCUUGGGAUAUGUUAAAUAAAUUUUUAUCGAAGAAGCCAAAUGAAAAUCUUGAAGAACUUGAUAUGUUGAAAAAGAAAUGUCGCUUAAAAGACAAUUUUGAAAAAACCUGGGAAUGCAUGACACGUGAUUGUCAAAGCAUCAAGGAUCUAUCUGUUGAAGAAUAUGAAAUUCUGCUCAAUAAUUUUUCACUUCCUAAUGUUUCGCAACAAGAUAUGUCUCAACUAAAUUGUUUCUACAACAAAACCAAGAAUGUCUUGUAUUUUCCAUUAGUAGGAUUGAACAAUUCUAUAGUUGGAUAUAAAUCACUUUUAACUAAUCCACAAAGAGAACAAACAGUUCCUGUCUCUGACGUUAGUGGAUGUAUUGAAUAUAAGCGCUCUCAUAGCAAAACUGAUAAUACUGCCAUAGUCGUGGGAAUGAUAGAUGAUUUGUUAGCUGUAAUAUCGAAGAAAUGUACAAAUCUAAUUAUAUGUCUUCCAUACAACUUGAAACAACUACCACAACAAUUGUUACCAUACAUGGAAUCCUUCAAGAAAUUAAUUUUAUGGUUUGGGAAUGAUGAAACAAGUUGGUAUACUGCUAAGAAUUUUGCAAAAAAAUUUAAUGAAAAACGUUGUUACUUUGUUAGACCAAUAGACUCACAACCUCGACCAAAGUUUGCUGUUGAAAAGAAUUAUAACUUUAAUACUAUUCUUGAAAAUGCUCAACCUGUAUGGCAUAAAAGUAUAAUUACUUUUCAAGAACUUAGAGAAGAAGUAUUAAGUGAUUUACAAAAUAAUGAUAAAGUACAAGGAAUAAAAUGGAAACGAUAUCCAGCUUUAAAUCGUAUAUUGAAAGGUCAUAGGAGAGGUGAACUUACUAUAUUGACUGGACCAACUGGAUGUGGUAAAACAACUUUUGUGAGCGAUUAUUCCUUAGAUUUAGCAAUGCAAGAUGUAAAUACCUUAUGGGGUAGCUUUGAAAUAAGAAACACACGAUUAGCAAGAACAAUGCUGCAACAAAUGGCAGGUGUACCUUUGGAUGAAAAUCUUGAAAAGUUUAAUUCAUAUGCAAGUGCUUUUGAAAAGUUGCCAAUUUAUUUUAUGACAUUUCAUGGCCAACAAAGUAUUAAAAUAGUGAUGGACGCAGUUGAACAUGCAACAUACGUACACGACAUAGCACAUGUCAUAAUUGAUAAUGUUCAAUUUAUGAUGGGAACAAGUAGUGAUUCAAGAAAUGUAGAUAGAUUUUGGAAACAAGAUCAAAUAAUAGCGAAAUUUAGGAAUUUUGCUACCAUGUACAAUUGUCACGUAACCAUGAUAAUACAUCCACGAAAAGAACGUACUGAAGAACUAACAACUCAAUCAAUUUUCGGAAGUGCAAAAGCAACCCAGGAGGCAGAUAAUGUCCUGAUUAUUCAGGAUAUGAGACUCACCAGUAUUCGGGGCAAAAAAUAUUUGCAAAUAGCUAAAAACAGGUAUAGCGGUGACUUAGGUAUUAUGACGUUAGAGUUUGAUAACUCAAGUCUUAGUUAUGCAUCACGGCCAAAAGGUAAAGAAAAAAGCAAAAAAACAGGAUCCUUAGAAAAAGAAAAGGAUGAGUAAUGAAAUAAUUUGAUAAAAAAGGGGAUAUAUUUUUCAAAAUAUUUUCACGCCAAAAUAUUUCACUCAUGAUUCGGCUCUUGAAACUAUUGAAAAUGUUUCUAUUGUUUUCAACGACAUGGAAAACUAUUAAGGAAAACAUUACUUUAUUGUUUGAACGUUUAUAUCUCCUGCAAAGAUACCAAUAUCUGUGUAUAGAAAAUGAAGGCAGUUUACCACUUUACCGACUAUGUGCUUCUCACGUGGGCACAGAUGUGGGUGGCAAAAACUGAUAAUAAAUAUCAUGGUGAAUGCAGAAGGCAAACGUAUAUACAACGCUCUUAAUAAUUGUAUUUCUUAUUGUAUUUUUUAUCGCGAAUAACUAAAUGAUUAAGGAUAGAAGGAAAUACUAACGAAUAUAGAAACGAA